CGUCCCACCCCUAUCGAGGCAGUCACACCUUAAAAAAAAAAGGAGGGGUUAUUCCUGCUUUUGCCGUGCUGUGAUCCAGGGCAGAGUUUCUCGUCAACCAGUAAAACAUCCAGUAACACAGCCAAUGGAAAUAAAUGAAUGGGUCUCUGUUUAUAGUGAAGAUUCUUUCGUUCUCCAGCUCCAGGCUUCAUACGGUAAAACUCUCUGGGAAGGAAAGGAACUCAGAGUCCCAUGCAGAAAAUUGUUCAGCUGGAGGGGUAUCAGAAAGAUGGAUUUCCAAAGCCAACUGUUUCCUGUAGUGUGUGGAUCUCUGCAAGCAGAGCCUCAUCUUUCAAUUUCAGCUACAUGAAAGAGGAAGAAAGGGAAAGAUAUAUGUCAUACGUGAUAUACUUUAUGUGGCUUUGAAGACCCCUCUUUUGUGGGGCUACGGCUAAAGAACAUAGUUCCCUGGGAUGGAAUUGGCUCUUCCUAUUUCCCUACUUCAUGAAAACUCCAGUAGAAGACCUUAGAACCUUGUCCUGGUUACAUGGAUAUGUUUACUUUGUGAAAAUUCAUCAAGCACUAUGCACGGUCAUGAUUUGUACAUUUUUUUGUAAGAUAACUUCAUUAAAAUUUACUUUUUUUAUUUUUAAAAA
rnacentral:lncRNA from 10 species